rnacentral:pre_miRNA from 1 species
AUAGGAAUUGCCCGGGAAUCUUGUUAAAAUGCAGAUUCUGAUUCAGCUGAUCUGGCAUGGGGCCAAGAUUCUGCAUUUCUAACAAGCUCCCAGGUGAUGAGAAU